rnacentral:rRNA from 1 species
AUUGAACGCUGGCGGCAGGCCUAACACAUGCAAGUCGAGCGAGCGGCGGACGGGUGAGUAAUGUCUGGGAAACUGCCCGAUGGAGGGGGAUAACUACUGGAAACGGUGGCUAAUACCGCAUACCAUCAGAUGUGCCCAGAUGGGAUUAGCUGGUGGGUGUGGUAACGGCUCACCUAGGCGACGAUCCCUAGCUGGUCUGAGAGGAUGACCAGCCAAAAUGGAACUGAGACACGGUCCAGACUCCUACGGGAGGCAGCAGUGGGGAAUAUUGCACAAUGGGCGCAAGCCUGAUGCAGCCAUGCCGCGUGUGUGAAGAAGGCAUUCGGGUUGUAAAGCACUUUCAGUGGGGAGGCGUUACCCGCAGAAGAAGCACCGGCUAACUCCGUGCCAGCAGCCGCGGUAAUUC